rnacentral:rRNA from 1 species
AUUGAACGCUGGCGGCAGGCCUAACACAUGCAAGUCGAACGAGUGGCGGACGGGUGAGAAAUGUCUGUGAAACUGCCCGAUGUAGGGUGAUAACUCCUGGAAACGGUAGCUAAUACAGCAUACCAUCGGAUGUGCCCAGAUGGGAUUAGCUAGUAGGUGGGGUAACGGCUCACCUAGGCGACGAUCCCUAGCUGGUCUGUGAGGAUGACCAGCCACACUGGAACUGAGACACGGGCCAGACUCCUACGGGAGGCAGCAGUGGGGAAUAUUGCACAAUGGGCGAAAGCCUGAUGCAGCCAUGCCGCGUGUAUGAAGAAGGCCUUCGGGUUGUAAAGUACUUGCAGCGAGGAGGCGUUACUCGCAGAAGAAGCACCGGCUAACUCCGUGCCAGCAGCCGCGGUAAUUC